rnacentral:tRNA from 1 species
GGUUGGGUGACCGAGUGGCUCAGGUGGAGGCCUCAUAAGCCUUUUACGGCGGUUCGAAUCCGCCCCCAAACC